UUACGGCCAUAUUGCUUUGAAACACCGGUUCUUAUACGAUAAACGAAGUUAAGCAACGUUGAACCUCGUUAGUACCUAAGUGGGUGACUGUUUGGGAAUACCAGGUGCUGUAAG